rnacentral:rRNA from 1 species
AGAGUUUGAUCCUGGCUCAGGAUGAACGCUAGCGGCAGGCUUAACACAUGCAAGUCGAGGGGCAGCGCGGGGUAGCAAUACUCUGGCGGCGACCGGCGGAAGGGUGCGUAACACGUGAGCGACUUGCCCGUCACAGGGAGAUAACCGCUGGAAACGGCGACUAAUAUCCCAUAUGAUGGCGAUCUGCAUGGAUCGCCAUUGAAAGAUUCAUCGGUGACGGAUAGGCUCGCGGGGCAUUAGCUAGACGGCGGGGCAACGGCCCACCGUGGCGACGAUGCCUAGGGGUUCUGAGAGGAAGACCCCCCACACUGGGACUGAGACACGGCCCAGACUCCUACGGGAGGCAGCAGUGAGGAAUAUUGGUCAAUGGGCGGAAGCCUGAACCAGCCAUGCCGCGUGAAGGACUAAGGCCCUAUGGGUCGUAAACUUCUUUAGACGCAGAGCAAUAAGGGUCUCGCGAGAUCCGAUGAGAGUAUGCGUAGAAUAAGCAUCGGCUAACUCCGUGCCAGCAGCCGCGGUAAUACGGGGGAUGCGAGCGUUAUCCGGAUUUAUUGGGUUUAAAGGGUGCGUAGGCGGAAGUGCAAGUCAGCGGUGAAAUCCCCGCGCUCAACGCGGGAGUUGCCGUUGAUACUGUACAUCUGGAAUGCUCUUGCCGUGGGAGGAAUGAGUAGUGUAGCGGUGAAAUGCAUAGAUAUUACUCAGAACACCGAUUGCGAAGGCAUCUCACGAAGGGGCGAUUGACGCUGAGGCACGAAAGCGUGGUAUCGAACAGGAUUAGAUACCCUGUAGUCCACGCAGUAACGAUGAUGGCUACUGUCGGGCCUAAGGUCGCGCAGCGAAAGCGAUAGCAUCACUGGGAGUACGACGCAGUGAACUCAAGGAAUGACGGGGCCGCACAGCGAGACAUGUGGUUUAAUCGAUGAUACGCGAGACUACCCAGCUCGACGCAUCUGAUCAUCAGGAUGGAUGGUCUUCGACAAAUGUCAGGCCUGCAUGUUGUCGUCACUCUGCGUGAGUGUCGCUUAUGCCUACCAGCCAACUUGCCAGUUACAUCAAGUAUGUUGGGGACUCUGGCGGGACUGCCACCGCAAGGUGUGAGGAAGGGGGGGAUGACGUCAAAUCAGCACGGCCCUUACGUCUGGGGCGACACACGUGUUACAAUGGCGGUUACAGAGGGGAGCCACCCCGCGAGGGGGCGCUGAACUCAAAAGACCGUCUCAGUUCGGACUGGAGUCUGCAACCCGACUCCACGAAGCUGGAUUCGCUAGUAAUCGCGCAUCAGCCAUGGCGCGGUGAAUACGUUCCCGGGCCUUGCACACACCGCCCGUC